GAUAAUCAAGCAUAACACUCCAACCAAUUCCAUCAUCAGCUUCUCUAGUUGUCACUUUCUUGUAAAACCUUUUCCCCACAAUCGAUCCAGUCAUGAAUGACAUAGGCAUAGACACAGAUGCUGAAUCUUGUGAUGACAAAGGUGAAGUCAUUUUUGGACCAUUUAUGAUAAUAUUAUCAUGGGUUGUUGCUUUCCCCACAAUCGAUCCAGUCAAGAAUGACAUAGGCAUAGACACAGAUGCUGAAUCUUGUGAUGACAAAGGUGAAGUCAUUUUUGGACCAUUUAUGAUAAUAUUAUCAUGGGUUGUUGCAGAAUUUGGAUCUCCGCCGUGAAAAGUGAAGGAGGAAGAAGAUGGGUCAUCUGAUGAUUCGGGUUGUGCCGAAGUUGCUAAGUUACUGAAAUUACGGGUUU
rnacentral:lncRNA from 1 species